GCACGGGUUGUAAGAGCACAGCUCAGUGAAUUUUCACCUAGUUAUGCGCCUGUGUAAUCACCAUCCAGAUCGAGAUAUAGCAAGUUUCUAGCCCUUUAGAAGGCUCCCACGUGCCCUUGCCUGCCCCAGUCAACACUUGGCCGAAGGUAACUGCUGGACUAACCUCUACCAUCACAGAACCAGAUGCUUUAUAGGCCGUAAAUCUGUGAGCAGAUGACCACACUCCUGCGCAGACAGCUGAGAUCUCUCACCCAAGGGCUCUGUACACAAGUAUAGCCUUUCAUGCAUCGUGGGAGCCGGCUGUGGGGGAUGGGAGGAGGAGGAAAAACCUGCCUGGGCGGGACUGCCAUCUGCUCAACACCGUGAAGAGGCUCUCAGGACUCCCAGGGGUGGAUGCUCUUGGCACACUACAGGUGUGAAGUACAGUGAAUCUCUUGUGAGGUGGAAGACUCUGAAUUCCUCUGUACACUUGGGUGCAAGAAAUGCCCACACUUCCCUCCAGCUUCUGGGAACUCAUCUUCUCCGGUUUGGGGCAUAGCUGUCUCCCCUGUGAAGCAUCGCCUUCCAUCUCUUCCCUUUUUAAGAGGACUUCAGCUUCUCUUCUUGAAGAGCCAAGAACUCUCACAGUCCUGGUUGGGGCUUUUUCCAGGAUAGUUUUUUUGUUUUUUUUUUAAGAUUUUAUAUUUUUUCCCUUUUUCUCCUCAAGCCCCCCAGUGCAUAGUUGUAUGUAUUUUUAGUUGUGGGUCUUUCCAGUUGUGGCAUGUGGGAUGCCGCCUCAGCAUGGCUUGAUAAGCGGUGCUGCGUCUGCGCCCAGGAACCAAACUGCUGAAACCCUUGGCCGUAGAAGCGGAGCGCAUAAACUUAACCACUCGGCUGCAGGGCCGGCCUGACCCCUCCAGGAUAGUCUUUGAAACGCAAAGAAGCUCUUAAAGUUCUUACACCUGAGCAUAACAGGAUCCUGAGCCUCAGGACAAAAAGCCAACGUUCUGUCCAGAGAGGAAAAGGUGGGGAAAAUUGCCCUUUCCUUCUAUCAAGUAAGUCUCCACCAUAAAUAAAAACAGGGCACAAAUGACCACGCCAGUGAUCUAUCCUGUUCCACAGUCCUGGGUUCCAAAUCCCCCCUCUGCAACCAACCACAGGGGAAACCUGGCAAAAUAACGCCACAGUCCUCUCAGCCCUGGUUUCUUCAAUUACAAAAUGGUGCCGAUGCCAAUCAUACAAGGAUGUCGUCGUUAGUAAAUGAAAUUAGUUUUUUUUAAAGCUCGAUACCUAAGGUCCUAAGAAGUGUAUUGUCUUUUCUUUCUUCCUACAGAAGGAAUUACCUGGUAGCACGGAAGUAUGAACAUCUGAAUUAGGUGGUCCGGGUGACAGAGCUCUGAGAACAGUGAUGCACUUUGCCAGCCCUGGCUCAUAAUUGGAUGACAUCAGGAGGCUUCCCACCCACUCCUCUGGAUCUGUCAAGGCACAGAGUCUCAUUGUUAAUGACUUUCACUCUGAACAGCUGCAGGCUCUUGUUGGCUUCAUUCACUGUGAAGAUGGUGGUCAUACAUCCCAGAUUUGAAAUAAUCUGUCCUGUUUUCAGACCUUGUGUCAGGCCAUCUGCCUUGGUAUCUCAUUAGGAAAAUAUGAUCACUUUAAGGAUGGCACAAUCUCUUCCAACUUCUCGGCCCUCUUGGAGGCUCACCCCAUAUGUCUCGUUGUCUUGGACGCCUUUUUAGGUGAUGUCCCUUCUCCUUUGGCCAAUUAGCAACAUUCCCCAUGCAUCUUCAGUGGAAAUGCCCUCUCUUUAGGGAUCCUCCCUUGAAGAGAUUUCAAUCUAGUGAGUACUAAAAUUAGACAAAGUAAGGCAGGAGACUACCUCCUUAUGAAAAGCUACCUGAUCAG
ensembl:lncRNA